rnacentral:rRNA from 1 species
UUAGGAAUUUUGGGCAAUGGGCGAAAGCCUGACCCAGCAACGCCGCGUGGGUGAUGACGGCCUUCGGGUUGUAAAGCCCUUUUCCAGGGGAAGAUAAUGACGGUACCCUGGGAAUAAGCCCCGGCUAACUACGUGCCAGCAGCCGCGGUAAUACGUAGGGGGCAAGCGUUGUCCGGAUUUAUUGGGCGUAAAGAGCGCGUAGGCGGCUAAGUAUGUCGUGCGUGAAAUCUCCCGGCUUAACUGGGAGUGGCCGUGCGAAACUGCUUGGCUUGAGGUCGGAAGGGGAAAGUGGAAUUCCGGGUGUAGUGGUGGAAUACGUAGAUAUCCGGAGGAACACCAGCGGCGAAGGCGGCUUCCUGGUCCGAUUCUGACGCUGAGGCGCGAAAGCGUGGGGAGCGAUCCGGAUUAGAUACCCGGGUAGUCCACGCCGUAAACGAUGAGUACUAGGUGUCGGGGGUAUCGACCCCCUCGGUGCCGUCGCUAACGCAUUAAGUACUCCGCCUGGGGACUACGGCCGCAAGGCUA